CAUAAACAUUAUCUUACUUACUCUAAAGUAAUUAGGGAAUUAAAACUUGAGACUGUCAUUUUCAGGUUGGGCGUAGAUUUACGCUCCUGCUAUGUCUAGGACUCGAAUGUUGUUUUUUGAUUGGAAUGUGUCUAAAGAUAUUCAACUUCUCAUCUUUACCGAUGAGCCCAGAGAGGUUGAAGAGGGCGAAACACAUUUCUAAGAACUGGUGUUUGGAUCUUUGAUUCUAUUCAAAAAAAUUUUCCCAGCCCGAAAUGGUGGAUGUGUGAAUUGUUCGUAAGGGGAUUUUUCCACAUUCUCUAUUUUAUUUGUUUGAUUUCGUACGAGUGGUCGUUAAACCAGUACCUGUGGAUCUUUUGAUCACUGAGUGUGUUUCAAAGAUCUACAUCUUUUGUUUUUUCAUAAACAUUAUCUUACUUACUCUAAAGUAAUUAGGGAAUUAAAACUUGAGACUGUCAUUUUCAGGUUGGGCGUAGAUUUACGCUCCUGCUAUGUCUAGGACUCGAAUGUUGUUUUUUGAUUGGAAUGUGUCUAAAGAUAUUCAACUUCUCAUCUUUACCGAUGAGCCCAGAGAGGUUGAAGAGGGCGAAACACAUUUCUAAGAACUGGUGUUUGGAUCUUUGAUUCUAUUCAAAAAAUUUUUCCCAGCCCGAAAUGGUGGAUGUGUGAAUUGUUCGUAAGGGGAUUUUUCCACAU